GCCGGCGUGGCCAAACGGUUACGGCGUCCGCUUCCUAGUACAAUCAGUUAAUACCUGAUCCGAAAGCGGGAGAUUGUGGGUUCGAUCCCCACCGUUGGUU
rfam:Cryptococcus neoformans var. neoformans JEC21 chromosome 6 sequence.